rnacentral:rRNA from 1 species
AUAAUGCAGUCGAGCGAUGGAUUAAGAGCUUGCUCUUAUGAAGUUAGCGGCGGACGGGUGAGUAACACGUGGGUAACCUGCCCAUAAGACUGGGAUAACUCCGGGAAACCGGGGCUAAUACCGGAUAACAUUUUGAACCGCAUGGUUCGAAAUUGAAAGGCGGCUUCGGCUGUCACUUAUGGAUGGACCCGCGUCGCAUUAGCUAGUUGGUGAGGUAACGGCUCACCAAGGCAACGAUGCGUAGCCGACCUGAGAGGGUGAUCGGCCACACUGGGACUGAGACACGGCCCAGACUCCUACGGGAGGCAGCAGUAGGGAAUCUUCCGCAAUGGACGAAAGUCUGACGGAGCAACGCCGCGUGAGUGAUGAAGGCUUUCGGGUCGUAAAACUCUGUUGUUAGGGAAGAACAAGUGCUAGUUGAAUAAGCUGGCACCUUGACGGUACCUAACCAGAAAGCCACGGCUAACUACGUGCCAGCAGCCGCGGUAAUACGUAGGUGGCAAGCGUUAUCCGGAAUUAUUGGGCGUAAAGCGCGCGCAGGUGGUUUCUUAAGUCUGAUGUGAAAGCCCACGGCUCAACCGUGGAGGGUCAUUGGAAACUGGGAGACUUGAGUGCAGAAGAGGAAAGUGGAAUUCCAUGUGUAGCGGUGAAAUGCGUAGAGAUAUGGAGGAACACCAGUGGCGAAAGC